GUGAUCUGCCCUGCACUUCGGGAUAAGCCUGGGAAACUGGGUCUAAUACCGGAUAUGACCUCCUAUCGCAUGGUGGGUGGUGGAAAGAUUUAUCGGUGCAGGAUGGGCCCGCGGCCUAUCAGCUUGUUGGUGGGGUAAUGGCCUACCAAGGCGACGACGGGUAGCCGACCUGAGAGGGUGACCGGCCACACUGGGACUGAGACACGGCCCAGACUCCUACGGGAGGCAGCAGUGGGGAAUAUUGCACAAUGGGCGAAAGCCUGAUGCAGCGACGCCGCGUGAGGGAUGACGGCCUUCGGGUUGUAAACCUCUUUCAGCAGGGACGAAGCGCAAGUGACGGUACCUGCAGAAGAAGCACCGGCUAACUACGUGCCAGCAGCCGCGGUAAUACGUAGGGUGCAAGCGUUGUCCGGAAUUACUGGGCGUAAAGAGUUCGUAGGCGGUUUGUCGCGUCGUUUGUGAAAACCAGCAGCUCAACUGCUGGCUUGCAGGCGAUACGGGCAGACUUGAGUACUGCAGGGGAGACUGGAAUUCCUGGUGUAGCGGUGAAAAUGCGCAGAUAUCAGGAGGAACACCCGGUGG
rnacentral:rRNA from 1 species